UACAGAGGGUGCAAGUGUUGUUCGGAAUUAUUGGGCGUAAAGGGCGCGUAGGUGGUCAGGUUAGUCAGAUGUGAAAGCCCUGGGCUUAACCCAGGAACUGCAUUUGAUACUACCUGACUUGAGUUCAGUAGAGGGUAGUGGAAUUCCCGGUGUAGAGGUGAAAUUCGUAGAGAUCGGGAGGAACACCAGUGGCGAGAGCGGCUACCUGGGCUGACACUGACACUGAGGCGCGAGAGCGUGGGGAGCAAACAGG
rnacentral:rRNA from 1 species